rnacentral:lncRNA from 1 species
CACACACAGGCACCUGUGCCCAAAUCCGGGCGAUGAUCCAGAAAUUAAGCGCCCAGGUCUGUCUCUAAUUGCACGUUUCAGCAGCGCCGCCCACCUAAUACAUCACUCUCUGAUGUGAAGGGAGGGGGAAAUUGCAGCCAGCCAGUCUGGUCUUUCCUCUGGAAAGGUUGGGAGAUGUCAGAGGAGUGGCAGUAGCAAGUCGUCUCACGUGAACCCGGAGGUGCUCUGUGGUCCCCAAGGGGCGGAGCCUGCAGCUGCUGGGGUCUGGGAUGGAGGGGCUUUGCACUGGACCACCUGAGCUAUCCAGGGUGUGGGGCUCCAUAGAGGCCCAGAUAGGGGCUCAGGGACCUCCAGCCAGGGCAGAAGAGCUCAGGGGUGGUUUCCUGGCUCUCUGCAGUGAGUAGGGUGUUAGAAGGCACCAAAACAAGGCCCCUCCCCCUUGGAUCUGCAGGGCAUGGGCUGGUCGUAUGUCAGCUGUUGCUGCCACAGAAGUCAGGCUUCCAGGGGUGGAGUGAGCCCUGGGGUGACCUGGUGAUUCUGCAGCCACUGUGACAAGGCAUGGAGUGUCUUACGGGUCCCCUGCGGUCCAGUGUUAGAGCACCAAGUUACGUAACCCAUGUGACCCUGGGCUUCCCAACACGGCGCAGGCUUUCCCGUAGACCCUCCUUCACACUGGAGCCCCUUUGACAGGAAGGGUGAGAUCAAAGGAAUCCUUCUCUCCAUGAGGAAUGCCGGCGCUUGCAGCAGCUGCUCUGCGAGGGCCCGCAUGUUUGCAGACCCGGACCUCAGGAAGGGAAUGCAGGUGACCACAGCAGCGCAUUCGGGAAGGUUCGGGGCCAGCUGGCGGCCACAUGAGGAGCCUGCCCUCCCAGGAGCAACGGUCCAUCUGCCUGUCAGAUAAAAGACUCAGACGCAGUCCCGGAUGCAACCAUGACUCUCAGCACCAAGGCGUCCCCCCUUCAGCGUUCAGAAUGUAAUGGAAUCCACAUAGGGGCUUCACUUCUCAUCAUUCCAGCACCCCCCACCGUGUGUGGAAAUGCACCUUCUCUUCUCCUGGGAGAUGUUCCUCCCAUCCAACCGUCUGGUUCCAGGAAGAUACUGUGCUCAUACAUGACUCCGCCCCCAUAGCCACCACUGAUUGGUCUAUGGGUGGUCACCUCACCCCAUAUUGGCCUUCCUGGGAUUUUUCAAACUGGAACUGACAUGAAGCCAAGAGGAGGAAGAGACUGCAUGUUUUCUGGCAUAUGGGGAAAGCUGAUCUACCAUGACAAAGAGUUAAGACAAUCUCAUUAGAAGACAGAGGAGGUGGGGCUGGACCAUCCAGGGCUGGCUGCUCUGAUGCUCACCUGCACAUCUGACCUGCUCUUUGGCUGCACAACCUGAGUCCAAGAGCAGACCCACAGGGCUCCCUGCAGAGAGUUCAAUGCAGAGGCUAUUUACAGAGGUCUAGGUAGGGGUGGGGAACCUGUACCCCAUGAACUGGAACAGCAGGGAAGCUGUUAUCCACUGUAAGCCCCAGGGCACAGGUGUGGGGCUUUGUUGCUGGAAUGCAGGGAGGGUUGUAAUUCUGGGAGAGGAGUUAUCUGGCAGGAUCGGAGAUCUUAUUUGAAGGAAAACCUCCACUGCCAAAUGUCAGUCAAGCAGGCUCCAACUUCUGUCUCCUCCCACCCUCAGGCUUCUCCUGUUGACUCUCAUCAGCCAAAUCCAACAGAAUCCAGAGGGCAGGGAGCCCCACUGUUGCCAUUUAUAGAGGUCAGCCUGCUGGUCACAGUGAGGUCAGAGAAGUUCACAAAGUGAUGCAGAGGGGCAGUCAGAGAAUAACUUGUGCAAAACGACCCUUCUUUGAUUCCUUGAGUCAGUAAAUGUUCCCAUUGGUCUUAGCAUUUCUGAGUUGCAUUUCUCUUAUUUGACUCCAAAAAUCCUGUUCCUGUGACCAACUCCCCCAAAGAGACUAAGUUUCUUAAGCCAUUUACUAAAUCAAGUAUAUGGGCUGGUGAAGCUCAGUAAUGUUUGUUGGAUGGCUGGAUGAGGAGGCAAGAAAGCACUGCAGAGGCCCCACCACUGCUAGAUAGAUGCUGCACUGGGUCAUCAAAAUGCUACCCAACCUUAGGCGGCAUCUUUGUCAAAGCAUCUUACGAUCUUGCCCAAGAUUACUUUUGAUGGAGCAUAGAGGCUCUUGGCAGCAGAAUGUCUCUUUUCAUGGUCUUUUAUAAAACCAGCUGCCCAGCAGUGCCUGAGACUGAGCAGACAUUUGAUUCAUGUUUGAAUGAAGGGGUGGAUGAGUGGAUGAUAGAUGAUGGAUGGGUGGAGAGAUGAAGAAGUAAAUGGGUAGAUGGAUGGAUGGAUAAACCAGUAAAUGGGUAAAUGGGUGGAUGGAUGAAUAAGCAAAUGAGUAGAUAGGCAGAUGGGUGGUGGAUAAGUCAUAAAUGGAUGGAUGGGUGAAUGAGUAGACGUGUGGAUAGAUGGUUGGAUGAUGAAUGGAUGAGUGUGUGGAUAGGUGAAUGAAUAAGUAAAUGGGUAGAUGGGUGAAUGGAUGGAUGGAUGAUGGAUGGAUAGUGAAUGGAUGGAUGGAUAAGUGAAUGGCUAUAUAGGUAG